rnacentral:tRNA from 14 species
AUUAGCUCAGUUGGUAGAGCAUCUGACUUUUAAUCAGAGGGUCAGAGGUUCGAAUCCUCUAU